rnacentral:rRNA from 1 species
CCUACGGGUGGCAGCAGUGAGGAAUAUUGGUCAAUGGACGAGAGUCUGAACCAGCCAAGUAGCGUGAAGGAUGACUGUCCUAUGGGUUGUAAACUUCUUUUAUCAAGGAAUAAAACGAGGCACGUGUGCCCUUUUGCAUGUACUUUAUGAAUAAGGAUCGGCUAACUCCGUGCCAGCAGCCGCGGUAAUACGGAGGAUCCGAGCGUUAUCCGGAUUUAUUGGGUUUAAAGGGAGCGUAGAUGGGUUGUUAAGUCAGUUGUGAAAGUUUGCGGCUCAACCGUAGAAUUGCAAUUGAUACUGGCAGUCGUGAGUACAGUUGAGGUAGGCGGAAUUCGUGGUGUAGCGGUGAAAUGCUUAGAUAUCACGAAGAACCCCGAUUGCGAAGGCAGCUUACUAAACUGUGACUGACAUUGAUGCUCGAAAGUGUGGGUAUCAAACAGGAUUAGAUACCCUAGUAGUC